rnacentral:rRNA from 1 species
AGUGAACGCUGGCGGUAGGCCUAACACAUGCAAGUCGAACGGCAGCACAGUAAGAGCUUGCCCUUACGGGUGGCGAGUGGCGGACGGGUGAGGCAUACAUCGGAUUCUACUUUUUCGUGGGGGAUAACGUAGAGAAACUUACGCUACUACCGCAUACGACCUACGGGUGAAAGCAGGGGAUCUUCGGACCUUGCGCGAUUGAAUGAGCCGAUGUCGGAUUAGCUAGUUGGCGGGGUAAAGGCCCACCAAGGCGACGAUCCGUAGCUGGUCUGAGAGGAUGAUCAGCCACACUGGAACUGAGACACGGUCCAGACUCCUACGGGAGGCAGCAGUGGGGAAUAUUGGACAAUGGGCGCAAGCCUGAUCCAGCCAUACCGCGUGAGUGAAGAAGGCCUUCGGGUUGUAAAGCCCUUUUGUUGGGAAAGAAAAGCAGCAGAUGAAUACAACGCUGUCCUGACGGUACCCAAAGAAUAAGCACCGGCUAACUUCGUG